AAACAAAAAAAAAAAAAAAAAACCAAAAAAAUAAACAUCUUUUUGUUUUCAAUCUCCACAUCACUGACCUUCCCCCUUCCUAACAGGCCGCACUUUUUAUCUCCCACUCUCUUCAUUUUUAUUUCAAAACGCGAAAGGACCUAGCCGUUCCAACGCCCUGCUUAAGAAAAAAAAAAAAGCAAAACGACGAGAACUCUUUCUCCCCGCAACACUAUUAUUGCUCUUUAAUUUAACAGAAGACUCCCCCCUCAGGAAAAACAA
rnacentral:ribozyme from 1 species